CUCUUUAUAGUAUAAAAAUAGUAUAUGUAUUUUCCAAAUACCAGGCCUUGUAAUAAGUAAAGAAA
rnacentral:tRNA from 1 species